rnacentral:rRNA from 1 species
ACGGAAGGCAGCAGUGGGGAAUAUUGCACAAUGGAGGAAACUCUGAUGCAGCAACGCCGCGUGAAGGAUGAAGGUCUUCGGAUUGUAAACUUCUGUCCUUAGGGAAGAUAAUGACGGUACCUUUGGAGGAAGCCCCGGCUAACUACGUGCCAGCAGCCGCGGUAAUACGUAGGGGGCAAGCGUUAUCCGGAAUUAUUGGGCGUAAAGGGUGCGUAGGUGGUUACCUAAGCAGGGGGUGAAAGGCAUUGGCUUAACCAAUGUUAGCCCCCUGAACUGGGCUACUUGAGUACAGGAGGGGAAAGUGGAAUUCCUAGUGUAGCGGUGAAAUGCGUAGAUAUUAGGAGGAACACCGGUGGCGAAGGCGGCCUACUGGGCUUUAACUGACGCUGAGGCACGAAAGCGUGGGUAGCAAACAGGAUUAGAUACCCUGGUA